rnacentral:rRNA from 1 species
UUAUUGAGAUUCAUUAUUACACCUGUGAAUUGUAAACUUGCUUGGUUGUUCACGCAACAACCAACUAACAAACUACUAUUUUAUUUCGUCUGACACUAAGAAAUUCAAAACUAUUAACAACGGAUCUCUUGGUUCUCGCAUCGAUGAAGACCGCAGCAAAGCGCGAAAGAUAAUGUGAAUUGCAGACGUGAAUCAUUGAGUUGUUGAACGCACAUUGCACUUUUCUUUACGGAAAAGUAUACCUGUGCGAGCGUCAUUUCUUUCUCCAUCUAGUAUGGGUAUUGGCAUUCUACUUAAUGCUUAAAACUAUUACGCGUAUAUGUUAAUCUACAAUGUACGCUCUAAUAACCUUAAUUUUUGACCUCGUAUCAGGUAAGAGUACCCACUGAACUUAAGCAUAUCAAUAAGCGGAGGAA